UUUAAAUAUUGGUUGUACUAAUUUACAUUCCAAACAGCAGUGCACAUGGUUUGUUAAGUGAUAUCAGAUCCACCAUGAAGAAACUAUCAAAGGGUGUACACUCUGAUUCUAAAGAACGCCUGUGAGGUCUAUGUGGGGGUUUCUGUAUGAUGAUCUGAAAGGACUCUGGGUGAGAUUACUCCGUUAGGGGUUUGUGAGGGGGUCCUGUGUGUCAUUAGUGUGAGUAAAUGUGUGUCUGUCAGAGGGCCUUGUGUGGGGUCAGUGUGGAUUUGUGGGAGAUUCCUGAGUAAGGUUAGUGGAGUCCCUGUGUGGGGUUGGUGUGGGUCUGUCGGCAGUCUCUGUGUGGGCUCAGUGUGGGUCUGUGCCAGGGCUCCUGUGCAGGGUCGCUGUGGGUCAGUGGGAGGUCCCUGUCUGGGGUGAGCGUGGGGCUCUGGGAGGGCCCUGUGAAAGGUCAGUGUGGCUGUGUGGGAGGUUUCUGUUUGGGGACACUGUGGGUCUGUCAGAGGUCCCUCUCGGGGGUCAGUGUGGAUCUGUCUAGGUCUCUGUGUGGAGUUUUGGGGGGCCCUGUGCUGGAUCAGUGUGAGGAUGUGGGAGGUCCCUCUGUGGGGUCAGUUUGGGUCUGUCUAGGUCUCUGCGUGGGGUUUUGGGGGGCCUGUGCUGGAUCCGUGUGGGGAUGUGGGAGGUCCCUCUCUGGGGUCAGUGUGGGUCUGACCCACUCUUUGAGGGGGACCCUCCAUUGCUGUCCUUUCUGCACCUCACGGCAGGAGAAGGGCAAGGGCCUCGCCACGUCUGGUUCCUUGCUGUUCUGUCGGUGUCCCUCUGCGUCAUAGUUCCAGCUCCCCCGACUCAGCACUCAGCUCUUGGCGCCUCUGAGAGGACCUGGCAUGAGGCGGGCUCAGGAGCCGUGCUCUGCGCUCCCCUCUGUGAACUCUGGGGGGGCGCUCGAUGACCUAGGACACACCCCGUUCCCUCAGACCCUGGCUGAGCCUCCAUGCCCGCCAUGGAGGAUGCGGUGCCGAGGCCGGACACCCCAGGGAGAAAACACAGCACAAGCAGGCCCGUGUCCUCUGCCCCCACAGCCCCGGGCCUGGUCCCACAUGUGGGGGUCCUGACAGGCAUGGAGGCGGGGCCGUUCCUGCUGGCUCCUGAUCGGGGACCCCCUCCAGGAGCAGGUGACUUUCUGCUCGGUGACACAUCCUGUCUGCUGGUCUCUUCCCUCUCCGGGCUCUGGGAUGAGUGAGGCUAAGAGCAGAACAUAAUGAAAUAUUUUCAAUGUGAGAUUCACUCUGGACUUCUUUCGUCACUGUUCCUCUGCUCAAGAAACACACAUAUACUCAGACCUAUGGGUGCAUCUGAGCUCCAUAAGUGAAAGGUUGUUGCUGAAUGAAAAGCCAGCCGGGAUUCUUGUACUCAGGAGGAGAAGAAUUCAAUCCGGAGCCAGAGACGAGGCUUGAUCGCUCAGAGCUUUGUGUAAUAAAGUUUUAUUAAAGUAUAAAGGAGCUGGAGAAAGCGUCUGGCACAGGCAUCAGAAGGGGGCAGAAAGAGUGCCCCCCUGCUAGUCUUCAGCUGGGUGUUAUAUAGUCACGAGCAGUCUGUUACUGAAAGAAAGGAAGUGAAACUGAAAGAAAGUGAAGUUGCUCAGUCAUGUCUGACUCUUUGUGACCCCAAGGACUGUAGCCUACCAGGCUCCUCUGUCCAUGGGAUUUUCCAGGCAAUAGUCCUGAAAUGGAUUGCCAUUUCCUUCUCCAAAGGAAUGUCUUAAAACUCAGAAUGGCACCAGGGCCCUCACCCAUAAGAUGCAUUUGGGGAUAAUCUUGGCACCAAAUGGUUCAACCUGGGCCAUAAAAUGAUUAACAUGAACCUUGUAGAAGGACAGAUUACCCUACAAAUAGUUUCAUUUACAUAGAUGAGGGAAACAAUAUCUGAGUAUAACACACUGGUUUGUCAAGAAGGUUCUGAGCCAAGAGGCGAACCGACUUGAAGACAGAGUUUGGGGUAAAUGUAUAUAGUACAUUAGCAUAGCUUAAGACAAACAUUUCCAUAAGAGAAAUGCAUUGAUUAUCUCAAGGUUUGAGAAUAGUUAACUUCAGGUGAAACCAGGUGUCAUUAUGGCAACAUAGUAUUUUUUUAAAUUUAAAUUUAUUUAUUUUAAUUGGAGGCCGAUUACUUUACAAUAACAAACCUCCUUUUAAAUUUCCCUAGAGAAGGAAAAAAAUAUCGCUAGUUUGUUUCCUCUUGCCGCUUAAGAGACAUAAAAAUGUCUGACACUUCCAGGCUAUUUCUUCCACUUGGAGACCCCUGGCCUUCCUGCCUGUUACCCUCUCAUCCCCCCCUUUUCUUUUAGGAGAAUUAUGUUGCCUACGAAAAAGGGGCGUUGUUCUUGUUCCAUAACUGCUUCCGAGCUGACAAGGGGUGUUGUCCCUAAACUGGUGAGGCAGCAUAUUCUCCUAAUCCUCAUGUUGAGAAUAUCUGAUCCAGGGGCCCCAAAUAGUAGUUGGAGAAAGAUGUAGCAGUAGCAGGAGUUUGAGCAACCAUUUGGAACUUAAAAGCUUUCAUGCGGCUAGAAACAAAUCCAGUCACACAGGUCCAGAUGCAGGGCAAAACAGUCAUUAAAACAAGCUAAAAUCAAAAUUAAAAGUCACGUUAUGUCCAUAGUUAAAAUGUAACGUGUUGUACCAGUCCAUCUGAGGGUUGUUAGAUGUCAUCAUAUGAUUGUUGUCGAAGGUAUUCACAGACUUGGAGAAAGUCUUUUCCUUGAAGUGGAGAUGUCGCCCACGGGAAGCCUUCCACUGAUGAAGAGGGGAGUGCUCCACCCAGCAGUUGGACUGACUGUGGAGUGCAGCGUAGGAGUGAGCCCAGAACAGGAAGGCAUUGUCUUGAGGAUCAAACGGCAGACUCAGGACUUUUGGAGUCAGCAGAAGAGAUCCUGAUGAGGAAUAUGGAACUAAUAAGCCACCACCAACCUGAAGAGUUUGGGAAAGGUCGAAAGGAGACACCGCGUGUCUGUCCACUUCCCAGAAUCCCUCUCGCUAGCAUCCAUCUUGGCUGAGCGAUGCGUUGUGCCACCGGGAAAGACUCUGAAUUAGAAUGAUUGGCCAAAGACCACCCGCAAACUAAUCUCAUCACCGUAAAACCCGAGACUGCGACCCACGAGGCAGAGCAGUUCUCCUGGGAUCCCUUACCCUACUGCUCUCCACCCGGGUGCCCUUUCCCAAUAAAAUCUCUUACUUUGUCAGCACAUGUGUCUCCUCAGACAAUUCAUUUCCAAGUGUUAGACAAGAGCCCAGUUUCGGGCCCUGGAAGGGGUUUGCCUUCCUGCAACAAAUGGCGACUCUGGUGGGACUCUUCGUCGCUCAGACUGACAUCCUGACCACUCGGGGUACUCAGGGGCCAGCUUGCCUGCCAACGGACCAGACCCAAUGGCCGAAACUGGUACCCUUUUGUCCCUGGUCUCCUCCUGACGUGGACAAAGUGCC
ensembl:lncRNA